ACUUUAAACCUAGCCUAAAUCUGUGUAAUGUUAUCUUAUGAAUGCACAUCAUAAAGGGGAACACCUUGAACCAAUAGUGGACCAUGUGCCAUGAAGGGAUGAUGAUGCAGGCAAAAAUAUUCACUGCUCAUUGGUUAUAUUUACAACUUAUUAAUUAGCAAGGCAAAAAUAAAUAAAACUAUGCCGAGAAAUUCUUUAUCGUGACGUGCAGAUAAAUACAUGCUGCUACUUGUUUUUUUAGUUCAUGGAUCAUUUCUUAUUGCAUGUCUGCUUGCCUAUUCAUUUAAUAGGUUACUUACUUAUGUUUGCCUUCAUCUGCACUGUCCCUUUGCCUCUGGUAGGCUGUAUGUUUCCCCAUGGUGGGACCAAUGAACCAUUUUUGAUUAUCAUGUUCUGCUUGAACUUGCUCACGUAGGCAAAGACUAACUAGAGAUGAAGCCAGGCUCUGCCCUGCGCAGACCUCCUGACUGACCUCUGCUGCUCCAGCAUGAGCUGAACACUAAGAACUAGAGAUGAAGCCAGGCUCUGCCCUGCUCAGACCUCCUGACUGACCUCUGCUGCUCCAGCAUGAGCUGAACACUAAGAACUAGAGAUGAAGCCAGGCUCUGCCCUGCUCAGACCUCCUGACUGACCUCUGCUGCUCCAGCAUGAGCUGAACACUAAGAACUAGAGAUGAAGCCAGGCUCUGCCCUGCUCAGACCUCCUGACUGACCUCUGCUGCUCCAGCAUGAGCUGAACACUAAGAACUAGAGAUGAAGCCAGGCUCUGCCCUGCUCAGACCUCCUGACUGACCUCUGCUGCUCCAGCAUGAGCUGAACACUAAGAUUUCCCUGAGGGUUGGAGAAACUUCAAAUCUGCAGAAGAAAAUAAAUGGUCACAUUUGUACAUCUGCAGAAUAUUUCUUUAAUGGUUUUCUUGUUUUCCACACUGUUGAAAUAAACUUUCUAAACUAAU